CAGUAGCCGCGGUAAUACGUAGGUGGCAAGCGUUGUCCGGAAUUAUUGGGCGUAAAGGGCUCGCAGGCGGUUUCUUAAGUCUGAUGUGAAAGCCCCCGGCUCAACCGGGGAGGGUCAUUGGAAACUGGGAAACUUGAGUGCAGAAGAGGAGAGUGGAAUUCCACGUGUAGCGGUGAAAUGCGUAGAGAUGUGGAGGAACACCAGUGGCGAAGGCGACUCUCUGGUCUGUAACUGACGCUGAGGAGCGAAAGCGUGGGGAGCGAACAGGAUUAGAUACCCGAGUAGUCCCUGUCUCUUUACC
rnacentral:rRNA from 1 species